AUAUGAUUACGCAGCAGAUAACCCAGAGAUGGCGUCGAUACUUGAUGGUAUCACCUUUGAAGAAUUGUGGAAUUUUCUUCACUCUGCACCGGCAAAAAACGAGGCAGAUAUAAAGGCAUGUCAAUUUCUUGCCACUCUACUUGGAGGAGGAGAAGGUGACAAAAUCUGCACGGAAAGGAAUGCGGUGGACCAGGAAGCAGCAAUAAUGCCCUAAAGAUUUUACAGUCACAAGCUGAGGGU